rnacentral:rRNA from 1 species
UACGUAGGGAGCAAGCGUUAUCCGGAUUUACUGGGUGUAAAGGGCGCGUAGGCGGGAUGGCAAGUCAGAUGUGAAAUCCAAGGGCUCAACCCUUGAACUGCAUUUGAAACUGUCGUUCUUGAGUACUGGAGAGGUUGACGGAAUUCCUAGUGUAGCGGUGAAAUGCGUAGAUAUUAGGAGGAACACCAGUGGCGAAGGCGGUCAACUGGACAGCAACUGACGCUGAGGCGCGAAAGCGUG